rnacentral:tRNA from 1 species
GCGGCGCCGGGAGGCGGCCCGUCCAGUGCCGUUCCCGACGGCGCGGCGUCCGGAUCGUCCGGCGGUGCCCCG